rnacentral:rRNA from 1 species
GUGUACCAGUUGUCGUGCCAACGGCAUAGCUGGGUAGCUAUGUAUGGACGGGAUAAGUGCUGAAAGCAUCUAAGCAUGAAGCCCCCCUCAAGAUGAGAUUUCCCAACUUCGGUUAUAAGAUGAAAAUGUAUUACUAAUUUCAUCCUU